GGCAGUUCUCAGGUGAUGCACACCGGAAGUGGGCUCCCUCCUCUCUGGUUCUGGAUGUGUCACCCGAGAACCCCA
rfam:Myotis brandtii contig242605, whole genome shotgun sequence.